rnacentral:rRNA from 1 species
AUGAACGCUGGCGGCAUGCCUUACACAUGCGAAGUCGAACGGCGAGCGACGGACGUUCGGUCUGGUGGCGAGUGGCGAACGGGUGAGUAAUACAUCGGAACGUGCCUAGUAGUGGGGGAUAACUACUCGAAAGAGUGGCUAAUACCGCAUGAGAUCUACGGAUGAAAGCAGGGGAUCGCAAGACCUUGUGCUACUAGAGCGGCCGAUGGCAGAUUAGGUAGUUGGUGGGAUAAAAGCUUACCAAGCCAACGAUCUGUAGCUGGUCUGAGAGGACGAUCAGCCACACUGGGACUGAGACACGGCCCAG